CUGAUCUCUGUGAGUUCAAGGCCAGCCUGCUCUACAGAGCUACAUAGAGAAAACCUAUCUCAAAAAAUCAAGGGAAAAAAAAGUGUGGUUGGCUUUCUUUGGCUACUAGCCCCUAAAUCAUAGCACAGACUUAUUAAUUAUGAAUUCUCUGCCUUAGCUUAUGUUUGUUUCUAGCUAGCUUUCCCCCCUUUAACUUAAAUUAACCCAUUUCUAUCAAUCUUUGUGCUGGCCGAUAAAAGUUGUUCUGUAGCACCCAGGACUCUUAACCCAGGAACUGCAAGCUAACAGCAGAGGGGGCCGUGGGUCAGGAAGUGCCAAGCUAAGGCCAGGCACUCAUAAGUAAUAAUAAGACUCCAUGUGUGGUUUAUUUGGGAGCUGGGUGGUGGGCACCUCAAAAAGCCAAAAGGGCAAAAACAACACACAAUUUGUUUUUUUUUUUGCAUCAAAAGAUAUUUAAUAGGAGCUACAUUCUGUGAAUUAGCCCCGUGAGUGAAGUGAGUGUUCAUUAAUACUUUUGUUUUCAUUUAAUAUCAUUAUUAUUAUUAUUAUUGUCUUUUUGAGAUGGGGGUCUUGCUACAUACUGCUGGCUAUGCUGGAUCUGGCUGGUCUCAAACUUUCAGAGGUCCACCUGCCCCUGCCUACAUGGUGCUUGGAUUAAAGGCGUGUGCUUGGUUCACAUCCAUUUUUUUUCUCCUUAUUUGAUAAAGUUUUGUGGGCUCCAUGAACUUUGGGAAGGUGAGCUUGCAGGUUUGGUACUUAAGGGUGAGCUUUGCCUCUGGGGGAAUAAUUAUGUAUAUGUAUAUGUAUGUGUAUGUGUAUAUGUAUAUGUAUAUGUAUAUAUGUAUACACCACAGUGCUGAAGCCAUUGUGUCAUGGAGGGUGCCAUCAAAGUGUUUGUCCCACACUUUGGAUGCAUCUUUUAAGGUGAUCUGCUUUGGGUAUCACACAGCAGCAGGGAACCUAUCUACCAUCAGGCUGCCCAGCAGGUGUGGUGUGACUAAAAUUCAUACUUCUUUCAGCAACUGAUUUGGCAAUUUGUUAAGUCUUACAGACUUCACCACAACUCUCUACCAGGCUCUUCUGCUGGGCUGACACAGGCUUCUGUUGCCGGCACAGAACCUGGGAGCGCUGAAGGAGGGAAUGUGAGCUCCCUGACACUGUCCGGGAAGCUGGGGAACUCACAGCGGAGCAGGGUGGGACAAGAAACUGCUCAGCCUCGGUCCAUAGCACAGAGGAGCUUCCGGAGCAGCUGCGCAAACAGAAGCAGCUGUCACCCGGGAACCAAGGGAUCGACAGCCAUCAGGAAGAAUAGUAGUUUCUUGCUCAUAAAUUUAUUUUAGAAUGUGUAUAUGCACAUGAAUGCAAUGUGCAAUGCCCUUGGGAGCCGCCUGAUGUGGGUGCUGGGAACCAAACUUGGGUCCUCUGGAAGAGCGGCACAGUCUUAGCAGCUAAGCAGAAGCCAUCUUUUCAGCCGUGUGCUCAGUCUCUUAUCGUCUGGAAGUGCAGGGAGGAGUACCUGCUGGCCCCAUGCGCUGGGGCAUUCGCCGACUCCGAGUUGGCUUAAAAGCUGGCUCAAGUUAAUUGGUGCAGCAGAAACGAGGAAGGCGAAUUGCUUCACCCAAGGCCAGCAGGAUGGCGGUGUGAUGGUGAAGUUGUGUAACCCUUCCAGACACAGCGUGGCUAUUUCUGGUGAUUUGCAAUGAUCAGUGAGGCCAGUAAGAAACAUGAUGUCCUCUUUCUCUUUAAAUGUGUUUAAUAAAAUAGACAUGGUGUGCUUGGGU